AGUGAGCGCUGGCGGUAGGCCUAACACAUGCAAGUCGAACGGCAGCACAGUAAGAGCCUGCUCUUACGGGUGGCGAGUGGCGGACGGGUGAGGAAUACAUCGGAAUCUACUUUUUCGUGGGGGAUAACGUAGGGAAACUUACGCUAAUACCGCAUACGACCUACUGGUGAAAGCAGGGGAUCUUCGGACCUUGCGCGAUUGAAUGAGCCGAUGUCGGAUUAGCUAGUUGGCGGGGUAAAGGCCCACCAAGGCGACGAUCCGUAGCUGGUCUGAGAGGAUGAUCAGCCACACUGGAACUGAGACACGGUCCAGACUCCUACGGGAGGCAGCAGUGGGGAAUAUUGGACAAUGGGCGCAAGCCUGAUCCAGCCAUACCGCGUGGGUGAAGAAGGCCUUCGGGUUGUAAAGCCCUUUUGUUGGGAAAGAAAAGCAGCAGGUUAAUACCCCGCUGUUCUGACGGUACCCAAAGAAUAAGCACCGGCUAACUUCGUG
rnacentral:rRNA from 1 species